rnacentral:rRNA from 1 species
GUCUACGGCCAUGCCAUCCUGAACAUGUCUGAUCUCGUCUGAUCUCAGAAGCUAGGCAGGGUCGGGCCUGGUUAGUACUUAGAUGGGAGACCACCUAGGAAGACCACGUGCUGUAGGCA